ACCGAAUAGAUACCCCGGUAGUCCACGCCCUAAACGAUGCGAACUGGAUGUUGGGUACAUUACGGUACUCAGUGUCGAAAGCUAGCGCGUUAAGUUCGCCGCCUGGGGAGUACGGUCGCAAGACUGAAACUCAAAGGAAUUGACGGGGGCCCGCACAAGCGGUGGAGUAUGUGGUUUAAUUCGAUGCAACGCGAAGAACCUUACCUGGCCUUGACAUCUGUCGAAUCCUGCAGAGAUGCGGGAGUGCCGCAAGGAACGACAAGACAGGUGCUGCAUGGCUGUCGUCAGCUCGUGUCGUGAGAUGUUGGGUUAAGUCCCGCAACGAGCGCAACCCGUUGUCCCUAGUUGCCAGCACGUAAUGGUGGGAACUCUGGGGUAGACUGCCGGUGACAAACCCGGUAGGAAGGUGGGGUAUGACGUCAAGUCCUCAUGGCCCUUAC
rnacentral:rRNA from 1 species